AACGAACGCUGGCGGCAGGCUUAACACAUGCAAGUCGAGCGCCCCGCAAGGGGAGCGGCAGACGGGUGAGUAACGCGUGGGAACGUACCCUUUGCUACGGAAUAGCUCCGGGAAACUGGAAUUAAUACCGUAUGUGCCCUACGGGGGAAAGAUUUAUCGGCAAAGGAUCGGCCCGCGUUGGAUUAGCUAGUUGGUGGGGUAAUGGCCGACCAAGGCGACGAUCCAUAGCUGGUCUGAGAGGAUGAUCAGCCACAUUGGGACUGAGACACGGCCCAAACUCAUACGGGAGGCAGCAGUGGGGAAUAUUGGACAAUGGGCGCAAGCCUGAUCCAGCCAUGCCGCGUGAGUGAUGACGGCCUUAGGGUUGUAAAGCUCUUUCACCGGAGAAGAUAAUGACGGUAUCCGGAGAAGAAGCCCCGGCUAACUUCGUGCCAGCCGCCGCAGUAACAC
rnacentral:rRNA from 1 species